GGCCUCGUAGCUCAGCUGGUAGAGCAUGCGCGUACAAAGCUUGGGCGGUGUCCAUGCGUGGGUUCGAGUCCCACCGAGGCUA
rfam:Echinostoma caproni strain Egypt genome assembly, scaffold: ECPE_contig0000201